rnacentral:rRNA from 1 species
GGGGAAUAUUGGACAAUGGGCGAAAGCCUGAUCCAGCCAUGCCGCGUGUGUGAAGAAGGCCUUUUGGUUGUAAAGCACUUUAAGUGGGGAGGAAAAGCUUGUGGUUAAUACCCAUAAGCCCUGACGUUACCCACAGAAUAAGCACCGGCUAACUCUGUGCCAGCAGCCGCGGUAACACAGAGGGUGCAAGCGUUAAUCGGAAUUACUGGGCGUAAAGCGCGCGUAGGUGGUUAUUUAAGUCAGAUGUGAAAGCCCCGGGCUUAACCUGGGAACUGCAUCUGAUACUGGAUAACUAGAGUAGGUGAGAGGGGAGUAGAAUUCCAGGUGUAGCGGUGAAAUGCGUAGAGAUCUGGAGGAAUACCGAUGGCGAAGGCAGCUCCCUGGCAUCAUACUGACACUGAGGUGCGAAAGCGUGGGUAGCAAACAGGAUUAGAUACCCUGGUAGUCCACGCCGUAAACGAUGUCUACCAGUCGUUGGGUCUUUUAAAGACUUAGUGACGCAGUUAACGCAAUAAGUAGACCGCCUGGGGAGUACGGCCGCAAGGUUA